rnacentral:RNase_P_RNA from 1 species
UAAAGCAGCCGGAUAAUCGCGCCUAAGAAGACAUUUGUCUUACAAAACGGGUGAGGAAAGUCCGUGCAUCCGAGGACAGACCGCCGGAGAAACUCCGGGCAGCGUGAGCUGGCGGAAAGUGGCACAGAAAAUAUACUGCUAACUGCUUUAUGCAGCAGCGAGGGUGCAACGGUGAGUUAAGAGCUUCACCAGCAAUAUCGGAAGGUAUUGGCUAGCUAAACCCCGGUUGGAUGCAAGAUGAACGAAACAUUAUGAGGUGUCCGCCUCGUUUCAAAAAUCGCUUGAGCUCUGGAGUAAUCCUGAGACCAGAUAGAUGAUUAUCAAGUAUACUUAUGAAGUAGAAAAAACAGAACACGGCUUACGGGUUGCUUUAUUCU